UCCCCAGAGGACUAGUGGUUAGGCCUCGGCGCUCUCACCGCCACAGCCCGGCUUCGAUUCCCGGCCAGGGAA
rnacentral:tRNA from 1 species